rfam:Desulfomicrobium orale DSM 12838, complete genome.
GGGCAGGGGAUGUAAAGUAGGCCUACUUUUCGCUUCGCUCAAAGCCUACUUUACGUUCCUUAUUCGCCUUCGGCUCAACGGAAACCCUGCUCUGCGAGGCU